rnacentral:rRNA from 1 species
CGGUGGACCAUUAAACUCUUGUUAUUUUAUGUAAUCUGAGCGUCUUAUUUUAAUAAGUCAAAACUUUCAACAACGGAUCUCUUGGUUCUGGCAUCGAUGAAGAACGCAGCGAAAUGCGAUAAGUAAUGUGAAUUGCAGAAUUCAGUGAAUCAUCGAAUCU